UACGUAGGGUGCGAGCGUUGUCCGGAAUUAUUGGGCGUAAAGAGCUUGUAGGCGGUUUGUCGCGUCUGCUGUGAAAUCCCGGGGCUUAACUCCGGGCUUGCAGUGGGUACGGGCAGGCUAGAGUAUGGUAGGGGAGACUGGAAUUCCUGGUGUAGCGGUGGAAUGCGCAGAUAUCAGGAGGAACACCGAUGGCGAAGGCAGGUCUCUGGGCCAUUACUGACGCUGAGAAGCGAAAGCGUGGGGAGCGAACAGG
rnacentral:rRNA from 1 species